rnacentral:misc_RNA from 1 species
UUAAGUUCAGCGGGUAUCCCUACCUGAUCCGAGGUCAACAUAGAUGGUUAGAGGUUUGUGGCAGGAUGGCCAUGUAAUCCGAGCGAAAGAGCAAACUUAUAACGCCAGGGAAACAUGGGGCAAUCCGCCUCUGAAUUUCGAAGGUGAGGUCACCAAUGGGCAUAGCUCAACCUUCAUAACCAAGCCAAAGAGCUUGAGUG